UACGGAGGGUGCAAGCGUUAUCCGGAUUUACUGGGUUUAAAGGGUGCGUAGGCGGGCCCUUAAGUCAGUGGUGAAAGCUCCGAGCUUAACUCGGAAACUGCCAUUGAUACUAUAGGUCUUGAAUUCGGUCGAGGUUGGCGGAAUGUGUCGUGUAGCGGUGAAAUGCUUAGAUAUGACACAGAACACCGAUUGCGAAGGCAGCUAGCUAGACCGACAUUGACGCUGAGGCACGAAAGCGUGGGGAGCAAACAGG
rnacentral:rRNA from 1 species